ACACAUCAAGGUGCAAAACCUGCAGAAACUAAUCGUCCAACUCUUCGACGUAUUGAACGUGUGGAAAGUUCUGACUACAUAAACGCAUGUUUUGUUGAUGGUUAUCUAGGAAAGAAUUACUUUAUUGCAACACAAUUGCCUUUAAACGAAACAAUAAACGACUUUUGGAGGAUGGUAACUCAGCAUGAAUGCACGACCAUCGUUUUGC